UCCCAUUGGUUGUGUUCCUGGGUGGUGUGACUGCUGUCCUCCUGAUAGUCAUUAUCCUUCUGUUCCUUAAAGUCAGACAACAUGCUAACACAGUUAUCGAGACUCAAAUGCAGCCACCACAUUUCCAGAAUACAGCCCAAGACACAGACUACUUGAAUUACGCAGCACUGAACUUUCAACAGAAGAGACAAAUAACAAAUAGGUCAGCCCAAAGUCAAAGGAUGGAUACGACAACAAAUGUCGUUUAUGCUGCCACAAGAUAAUGGCCAGGAUCAUUUAUCAAAAAUCCUGUAGUAACACUUCUGACAUAAGUUACCUGAUGGAACUGCUAUAAAUGACGAACGUCGCCACUCAAAAUAAACUUUCUACCACAGAAGCCAUGUCUAU